rnacentral:rRNA from 1 species
ACGGCUCAGUAACACGUGGAUAACUUGCCCUGGGGUCCGGGAUAACCCCUGAGAAAUUGGGGACAAUACCGGAUAGGGCAUCGAUAGCUGGAAUGCGCGAUGUCCAAAAGCUGAGGCGCCCAAGGAUAGGUCUGCGGCCGAUUAGGUUGUUGUUGAUGUAAUGGAUCAACAAGCCUGCAAUCGGUACGGGUUGUGAGAGCAAGAGCCCGGAGAUGGGUUCUGAGAAAAGAACCCAGGUCCUACGGGACGCAUCAGGCGCGAAAACUUUACAAUGUGCGAAAGCACGAUAAGGGAACUCUGAGUGCCUCCUAUGGAGGCUGUUCAGGUGUCUAAAAAGCACUCGAAGUAAGGGCUGGGUAAGACCGGUGCCAGCCGCCGCGGUAACACCGGCAGCCCAAGUGGUAGCCACGAUUAUUGGGUCUAAAGCGUCCGUAGCCGGCCAGGUAAGUUCUUUGGGAAAUUUAACCGCUUAACGGUUAGGCUUUCAGGGAAUACUGCUUGGCUUGGGACCGGGAGAGGUCAGAGGUACUUCAAGGGUAGGGGUGAAAUCCGUUAAUCCUUGAGGGACCACCAGUAGCGAAGGCGUCUGACCAGACCGGGUCCGACGGUGAGGGACGAAGGCUAGGGUCGCGAACCGGAUUAGAUACCCGGGUAGUCCUAGCUGUAAACGAUGCGGGCCAGGUGUUGGCAUUACUGCGAGUGAUGUCAGUGCCGAAGGGAAGCCGUUAAGCCCGCCAUCUGGGGAGUACGGUCGCAAGGCUGAAACUUAAAGGAAUUGGCGGGGGAGCCACCACAACGGGUGGAGCCUGCGGUUCAAUUGGAUUCAACGCCGGA